GGUUUUGUAGUGUAGCGGUUAUCACUCCGGAUUCUGAUUCUAAAUUGUCAGAAAAAAAAUUCCGGCAACCCCGGUUCGAUUCCGGGCAAGACCU